CUGAGUGGCUAAGCGAAAGUGAUAAGUAUCCCACCUGGGGAGUACGAACGCAAGUUUGAAACUCAAAGGAAUUGACGGGGGCCCGCACAAGCGGUGGAGCAUGUGGUUUAAUUCGAUGAUACGCGAGGAACCUUACCAGGGCUUAAAUGUAGGAUGACAGGUUUGGAAACAGACUUUUCUUCGGACAUUCUACAAGGUGCUGCAUGGUUGUCGUCAGCUCGUGCCGUGAGGUGUCAGGUUAAGUCCUAUAACGAGCGCAACCCCUGUUGUUAGUUGCCAGCGAGUAAUGUCGGGAACUCUAGCAAGACUGCCGGUGCAAACCGUGAGGAAGGUGGGGAUGACGUCAAAUCAUCACGGCCCUUACGUCCUGGGCUACACACGUGCUACAAUGGCCGGUACAGAGAGCAGCCACCUGGCGACAGGGAGCGAAUCUAUAAAGCCGGUCACAGUUCGGAUUGGAGUCUGCAACCCGACUCCAUGAAGCUGGAAUCGCUAGUAAUCGGAUAUCAGCCAUGAUCCGGUGAAUACGUUCCCGGGCCUUGUACACACCGCCCGUCAAGCCAUGGAAGCUGGGGGUACCUGAAGUCGGUGACCGCAAGGAGCUGCCUAGGGUAAAACUGGUAACUGGGGCUAAGUCGUAACAAGGUAGCCGUACCGGAAGGUGCGGCUGGAACACCUCCUUUCUAGAGACA
rnacentral:rRNA from 1 species